GACGAACGCUGGCGGCGUGCUUAAUACAUGCAAGUCGAACGGAAGUAGCAAUACUUUAGUGGCGCACGGGUGAGGAACACGUAGAUGAUCUGCCCUUGAGAUCGAGAUAACCCCGGGAAACUGGGGCUAAUACCGGAUAAUGCAUUAUUAUUGGAUUAAUAAUGUUAAAGCGGCGCAAGUCGCACUUGAGGAUGAGUCUGCGACCUAUCAGCUAGUUGGCGGUGUAAUGGACCACCAAGGCAAAGACGGGUAGCUGAUCUGAGAGGAUGAUCAGCCACACUGGGACUGAGACACGGCCCAGACUCCUACGGGAGGCAGCAGUAGGGAAUAUUGCGCAAUGGGGGAAACCCUGACGCAGCGACGCCGCGUGAGUGAUGAAGGCCUUUCUGGUUGUAAAGCUCUGUAAGGAGGGAAGAAUGUCAGGCAGUAACGUGUCUGAGUGACGGUACCUCCGGAGUAAGGACCGGCUAAAUACGUGCCAGCA
rnacentral:rRNA from 1 species